GUAGUGCAGUAAGCUAAGUUGUAUCCAACCAGUCCAGGAGCUUCAGGGCAGUCUCCAGAGCACUAUUCUAUCUUAUAUGUAGAAGUGCUAAGUCUGAACAUUAAGUAAUGGCUUGAGUCCCUGAUAUUAGUGACCUUUCAUAUAAAAAAGGAAUCAGCAGUAAUUAAACUCAUUACUCAAAUAAAAGGAAAGAAAGCAAAGCAGUAGCAUAUAAAUAUUACAGUCAGAACAUUUCUAAGCUCAUACAGGGCAUGGAUUCUCUUACAUUCUCCAAGUUUCCUGAGCUGCAGCAAAAACAUCCUCCAUUAGGGGGUCUCGUAACCCUGCUUUGGUCUGUGUGCUUUGUCACUGCAAAGAGAUUCAUAUUCAUUCUCUCUCUCCCCCUCCUCCAGUUUCUCUCUUUCUCUCUUUUUGAGUUUCUUCCUGUCUUUUAUUGAAACAUCAGUUAAUGAUGUGUUAUGUGUCUGUAUUUUUUGUCCUAAUAGUUGUAUGAUCCUCAACAUUUGAACAAAGAAAACAAAGUACAAUGUGACACAGUAAGGAAAAAUCAUGAAUACAUCACCUUUAUCUAUGUAGUCUGAACAUUGACAUCACCAGUUUUUGCAUAGUUUAAAUAUGGAUUGAAAGAUAAUGGACUAUUAAGAACUUUGGGAGUUCCCUGGUGGCUCAGCAGGUUAAGCACCUGGCAUUGUCACUGCUGCACUUGGGUCAUUUUUGUGGUUUGAGUUUGAUCCCUGGCCCCAGAAGUUCUGCAUACCACGUGCCUGGCUAAAAAUAAAAGAGAGAAGGAGAAGAGCCUUGGAUUUUGUAAAGAAUGGAGCUCUUGAUCCUCUGGAGAGGUAUGUUAUGGUCAAGAGCCUUAACUUUACUCCCUUCUCCUUCAGGCACAAAACAAGGGAGCCAACUAAGUGGUUGUUUCAUGAAUCUGGAGUUAAGAAGAAUGAGUCCUCAGCAAGAAAUAAAAAUGAUGGCGUUUAGGUAGGACACUAUAAAAAAUCCUCCCGUUUGCUCACCUCACAAACUCACAUUCUAGAAUCACCAAGUGGAAAUUAACAGCUUAUGAACACAUUUUUAAAUGUUUGAUUCUCAGCCUGUUACCUGCAUCUCCAGAAAAUUAUCACUUCUCUUAAUAAGAGUCUUUUGAAUUUAAUACAAAAUACAUCAAUCCUUCAGUAUAGUAUAGAGAGGGAAUCACAAACAGUAAUGGGCCCAUCCCCAAAUUUAACUGUUCUCAUCAUUUUGCCAUAUUUGCUUUAGACUCUUUUUUAAAAAGUACAUCAAGAUUAAAAAAAACAAAAACAAAACCUGUAGGCUACUUUGGCCUGCUGCUAAUGUUCCAUGUCUAGUUAGAAGAUUUGCUAUUUAGUGGAAAUUCUUAUGUGGUAUCACUAAGGCACUGUGAAUCAGAAGUAAUCAAACAUGAUAUUUCUUGAAAACCCUAAGGAUACAUAGGUCUCAAGGCUCCUCAUAUUACCUUCACCAAAAGCCAAAACUAAAAGACAUGCCUCAGAAACUAUUAGAUUGAAAUAUUCUUUGGAAGGAAUAGUUCAGGGCAGAGAGUUUGGCCUGGACUCAGUGAUUGACAAGGACAUGAGUCAUGGUCAGGGAAGAGAUUCUCUCAGGGGAGAUUGUUGAGCUGUCUGGAAUCCCUGACAUCUGCCCUGAUGGACUCAUGUACAGUGAGGCGUCCCAACAAUAUAUACCUCUUACAAGUACAAUGGCAUACACAUACUUAUCUACACUAAAUGCUUACUAUCCAAGCUCCUGUCUCUUUGCUCAGAAGAAUGGAAUAGUGAUGAAGUGGAAAAUGUCCCCAGCUUAGCCUACAUGCAUGAUCAUUCUCUCUGAUUGGAAGAUAACCACCUGACUGGAGCACAAACAUCCUGUUUGCUUCAGUCUAAUAAUGAGUCAUUUGAGGAAACAAUUGAAUGCCUGUUCAUGCCUCCCUUUUCAGAAAGGCCUGGAGGGCACCUAUGAGACUGUGGGUCUCUUGGGAUUCCAAGAGACUAAGCAAGGAGAGAAUGGUGGUUCCUGGUACCGAGUGAGAGCCUGAAAAAAAAAAAAAAAAA
ensembl:lncRNA